GCCAGCAGCCAUAUCACCCUGCAACUCACAACUGGCAACCCAGUGAAGCUAAGGACAUGUGAGCCUGGUACCAGUACCUGGAUGGGAGACCUCCUGGGAAAGGUUGCUGCUGGAA
rnacentral:rRNA from 1 species